rnacentral:rRNA from 1 species
UAAUACAGAGGGGGCAAGCGUUAUUCGGAAUUAUUGGGCGUAAAGGGCGCGUAGGCGGUCUUUUAAGUCAGAUGUGCAAUCCCCGAGCUCAACUUGGGAACUGCAUCUGAGACUGGAAGACUCGAGUGCUGGAGAGGGUGGUAGAAUUCCACGUGUAGCGGUGAAAUGCGUAGAGAUGUGGAGGAAUACCAGUGGCGAAGGCGGCCACCUGGACAGUAACUGACGCUGAGGCGCGAAAGUGUGGGUAGCAAACAGG